rnacentral:rRNA from 1 species
ACGGGAGGCAGCAGUGGGGAAUAUUGCACAAUGGGGGAAACCCUGAUGCAGCGACGCCGCGUGAGUGAAGAAGUAUUUCGGUAUGUAAAGCUCUAUCAGCAGGGAAGAAAAUGACGGUACCUGACUAAGAAGCCCCGGCUAACUACGUGCCAGCAGCCGCGGUAACACGUAGGGGGCAAGCGUUAUCCGGAUUUACUGGGUGUAAAGGGAGCGUAGACGGCGAUGCAAGUCUGAUGUGAAAGCCCGGGGCUCAACCCCGGCGCUGCAUUGGAAACUGUGUUGCUAGAGUGCAGGAGAGGUAAGUGGAAUGCCUAGUGUGGCGGUGAAAUGCGUAGAUAUUAGGAGGAACACCAGUGGCGAAGGCGGCUUACUGGACUGUAACUGACGUUGAGGCUCGAAAGCGUGGGGAGCAAACAGGAUUAGAUACCCUGGUA